rnacentral:lncRNA from 1 species
CAGGGGAAGGUUAUGUAGGGGAGCAGAAAGGUUGGAGAUAAGCUGUGGGGUACCGGCUGGGAAAGAGGAGCAGGAAUCUGUGGAGAGGAGGAAGUUGGAGACCUUUUGUGUUUGGCAGGACCAGUUGGACACUGUGAAUUGCUGGCGGGGGGCCCAAGAAGUUCUGGGGGAAGGUGGCUCGGAGAUGCACAUAACCAUUUUUUUGGAACUAAGGUUGAGCUCAGCCGCUGUUAGUUCUUGAGUCGCCUGGGCUGGGGUUAGUUCUUGAGUCACUGGGGAGACAACCAGGAAAGAUGUGGGAAGACAUAUUCAAAUGGUCUUAUCAGAUGCUAUGCUAAAAAGAGCAACGAUGUAAUGUGACUUGUUUGCAAGGUUUGGAAUGAAAGGAAUGAAGCAGAGCUAAUUUCAGUAAGCUGUAAUCAAUGCUUUAAGUAGCAGGUUUAUUCAGUUGUCUCAGGCGGUUGUUUUUUCAUGCAUUAGUGUUUUGGUGAUUGUAGUAAAAGAAUAUGUAGUGUACGUAGGUGGAGGUAUGAAUGCUCUUAAACUCUUACAAAGGAACAUAAUACCAGUGUUUAUUGGAGUUAUUAUUGCAUGCAAUAUCAUCUAGAGGCUUUGCAUUUUAUCAGGGCCCUUUAUUGUUAGGCGCUGCAUGGGAGAGAUUUUUGUCUUCAUCUUGUGGUACAAAUAAAGAAUACAUCCAAAUGACUGAUGUCUCA